GACGAACGCUGGCGGCGUGCUUAACACAUGCAAGUCGAACGGACAGACAGAGAGCUUGCUCUCUUGAAGUUAGUGGCGAACGGGUGAGUAACGCGUAAUCAACCUGCCCUUCAGAGGGGGAUAACAAUGGGAAACCGUUGCUAAUACCGCGUACGAUUCAUGAACGGCAUCGUUUAUGAAUGAAAGGUGGCCUCUAUGUAUAAGCUAUCGAUGAAGGAGGGGAUUGCGUCAGGUUAGCUAGUUGGAGGGGUAACGGCCCACCAAGGCAAUGAUCAGUAGCCGGUCUGAGAGGAUGAACGGCCACAUUGGGACUGAGACACGGCCCAAACUCCUACGGGAGGCAGCAGUGGGGAAUCUUCCGCAAUGGGCGAAAGUCUGACGGAGCAACGCCGCGUGAGUGAUGAAGGUCUUCGGAUUGUAAAGCUCUGUUAAUCGGGACGAAAGAGUUCUGCGUGAAUAAUGCAGAAAAGUGACGGUACCGGAAUAGAAAGCCACGGCUAACUACGUGCCAGCAGCCGCGGUAA
rnacentral:rRNA from 1 species